rnacentral:misc_RNA from 1 species
AAUUGAUUGAAUAUAAUUGUUAUUAGUAAGCCGCCAGAGUUGCUUAGAAAAUUUGGCUCUCAAUCAUUAACAUAAGAUUUACCAUACUACAAAUUUGGAAAAAUAAGUGUGAGAAUUUGUGAAUUAUGGGUUUUGAUUAAUGAAACCAAUUAAGCUCCAAGUCAAUGAAGCAACCAACCCAUUGAAUCAAGAGUUAGGGAUUUUCUCCUGCAAACAGAUACCAUAAACAAUGUCAAGUUUGCUAUGAUUUAUUUGCCAAUUGGUCUCAUGCAUUUUCUAUAUGCUAGACUAUAAAUCUAUCACUUUCAUUUGGAAGAACAAAGACUUUAUCAGUCAUGCGCCACCACAACUGACCUUGAGUAUCUAGUACAAUUACAAUAAGUAAUGCAUACUUGGGAAACAGUAGCAAAUGGUUUGGCCGUCCAUAGAAACUUGAUCCGUGAUUGAAAAACUUUCACCAUCUGCCAUUCCUGCAAUCACAAUAUUUUCUCUUGGAUUAUUUGCAACUGUUCUUCAACUCCUGAAAAAAAAUAAGACUGCAGUCAUUUUUAAACAUUUGAAACAUAGCAGUGUAGCGAUAGUAUUCUCUCAAAAAACAAGGGGAAAAGAAAAAUAAUUCAUCAUGGAGGUUGAGCGCUUUGACAACACUGCUCCAUUUAUCUUAGAAUAUUUUGGUCUGACAGUGCUUGAAGACAAAUGAGGGUGGCUUUAAUGUAAUGGUAAAGCUACUCUAUUUAUAAUCUGAAAGUCAUGGGUUUAAUUCAUGGAAACAGCUUCUCUGCAAGGCAGGAGUAAAGUUGCAUAUGUCAAACCUCUCCAAAAUCCACUAGUGUGAUGCUUCAUGCACUGGAUCAACUUUUUGCUAUCCUCAAAAUGAAAAGUGUUCAUGAUGCAAUGAAUCGUAGGGGUUGAGCUUCCUUCUAAUAACAAAACUCCAGAACCAUGACACUCGCAAAAAGUCAUUAGAGAAAUUAUGUCCAGCCCAAUGGAAAUAAUCGUUUGCAAAACCAAAUACAUUAGCCUCCAUUACAUAUCAAAAUUCUGAUAGUAAUCAUUUUAAGUUUUGAAGUUGAACAAUCUUCACUUUACAAAUCCAGAGUGUUCCCUAUAUACAUGUCCCUCAGGAAGGCAAGUGGAGAUGAGAAGAACCAAGCCCUUUGAUCAGUAUUGUCAGUAUCUUUUACAGGUGAAAUUCCUUGACUGAGCUAAUCAGUUGAUAUAAAAACGUGAAACUCCAUUGAAGUCCUGUAGUUAGAAGCAUGAGGAUCCUGAUCAAGAUGGUGCUCCAAAUAUAAUAGGUCUUGAACCUCUGUGUAAAAAUCGAGGUUGAAAGCCUAAGGUUCAACUUCUUCAUGAGUUUCAUUAUAACAUUCUUGGCAUUUGAGUGAAGGAAAAAUAAUUCCACCUGACCAGGAAAAUCAAAAAGAAGGUAGUGAU